UCCACCAUGCCUCCUCCGCUCGUCAAGCACCCCCGAGUUCUCAAAGAAAAGGAACCAUAAAUGAAGUUAGCCAGUCCAUAGGUCUAUCUGACAAAGUAGAUGCACUAUCCCGCAAGUUGGACUAGCUAAUGUCUAGAGAACAGCUUCCAAACUUUCUCCAAGCACAAGUUUGUGCUCUCUGUUCUAGCCCGUCUCACCCUGUUUUUGAGUGCCCUUUGGCAGCUCAAUUUUCUGAAUUUGUGCAAGAACAA
rnacentral:lncRNA from 1 species